rnacentral:rRNA from 1 species
GAUGAACGCUGGCGGCGUGCCUAACACAUGCAAGUUGAGCGAUUUACUUCGGUAAAGAGCGGCGGACGGGUGAGUAACGCGUGGGUAACCUGCCCUGUACACACGGAUAACAUACCGAAAGGUAUGCUAAUACGAGAUAAUAUACUUUUAUCGCAUGGUAGAAGUAUCAAAGCUCCGGCGGUACAGGAUGGACCCGCGUCUGAUUAGCUAGUUGGUAAGGUAACGGCUUACCAAGGCGACGAUCAGUAGCCGACCUGAGAGGGUGAUCGGCCACAUUGGAACUGAGACACGGUCCAAACUCCUACGGGAGGCAGCAGUGGGGAAUAUUGCACAAUGGGCGAAAGCCUGAUGCAGCAACGCCGCGUGAGCGAUGAAGGCCUUCGGGUCGUAAAGCUCUGUCCUCAGGGAAGAUAAUGACGGUACUUGAGGAGGAAGCCCCGGCUAACUACGUGCCAGCCGCCGCAGUAAAAC